rnacentral:rRNA from 1 species
CCCCAAAUCUAGCCUACACAACUCGUAUGCCACCCUAAUCUAUUAUACCCUAAACAAAACAUUUUAACCUUUUUAGUACAGGCGAUCGAAAAGCUUCUAAGAGCUUCAGAUAAAGUACCGCAAGGGAAUGAUGAAAUAAUAUGAAAUACCUUAAAGCCUUAAAAAGCAGAGAUUAUCCCUCGUACCUUUUGCAUCAUGGUCUAACAAGUCUAACCAAGCAAAAAGAAAAUUUAAGUUUGACCCCCCGAAACUAAGUGAGCUACUUCAAAACAACCCUUGGGGAUAACCCGUCUCUGUUGCAAAAGAGUGGGAAGAUUUUUAAGUAGAGGCGACAAACCUAUCGAGCUUAGAGAUAGCUGGUUAUUCAGGAAAAGAGUCUAAGCUCUACCUUAAGUUUAUACAUUUCCACUAACAAAUUCUUCUACUUAAGAGCUAUUCAAGUAAGGAACAGCUUACUUGAUACAGGAUACUACCUUAAACACUGGGUACAUAAGGGUGUAACUAAUAAAGUGGGCCUAAAAGCAGCCACCUUAUAAAAAGCGUUAAAGCUUAACUUAUAUUACCCCCAAUACCUUUAAUUAUUUUUAACCCUUCACUACUACUGAAUUAUUUUAUAAUUACUAUAAAAGACAUUAUGUUAGAACUAGUAACAAGAAUAAAUUUCUCCUAAAUGUAAACAUAAACCAGAACUGGACCCUCCACUGGUAAUUAACGUAUAUGAUAAAAUUAUAGUAACACUAAACAAGAAUACCCUAUGACUUCUCAACGUUAACCUAACACUAGAACACUACAGGAAAGAUUAAAAGAGAAAGAAGGAACUCGGCAAACUUUAGCCCCGCCUGUUUACCAAAAACAUCGCCUCUUGACUCAAGAUAAGAGGUCCAGCCUGCCCAGUGACUAAAUUAAACGGCUGCGGUACUCUGACCGCACAAAGGUAGCGUAAUCACUUGUUCCAUAAAUAGGGACUUGUAUCAACGGCAUCACGAGGGCUGUACUGUCUCCUUUCUCCAAUCAGUGAAACUGAUCUUCCCGUGAAGAAGCGGGAAUUAACUAAUAAGACGAGAAGACCCCAUGGAGCUUUAAACUCACUAUGCACCUCUGCCCACCUACAUCAUUUUAGCCCAUGAGAACUGCAUUAUAGCUUUAGGUUGGGGCGACCACGGAGUAAAAAUUAACCUCCACGACGAAAGGGCUAAGCCCUUAUCUAAGAGCAACAACUCUAAGAAUUAAUAAACUAAUGUUUAAUGACCCGAAUUUCGAUCAACGAACCAAGUUACCCUGGGGAUAACAGCGCAAUCUACUUCGAGAGCCCAUAUCAACAAGUAGGUUUACGACCUCGAUGUUGGAUCAGGGUAUCCCAGUGGUGCAGCCACUA